CCUACGGGCGGCAGCAGUAGGGAAUAUUGCGCAAUGGGGGAAACCCUGACGCAGCAACGCCGCGUGGAGGAUGACACUUUUCGGAGCGUAAACUCCUUUUGUUAGGGAAGAAUAAUGACGGUACCUAACGAAUAAGCACCGGCUAACUCCGUGCCAGCAGCCGCGGUAAUACGGAGGGUGCAAGCGUUACUCGGAAUCACUGGGCGUAAAGGACGCGUAGGCGGAUUAUCAAGUCUCUUGUGAAAUCUAACGGCUCAACCGUUAAACUGCUUGGGAAACUGAUAAUCUAGAGUAAGGGAGAGGCAGAUGGAAUUCUUGGUGUAGGGGUAAAAUCCGUAGAUAUCAAGAAGAAUACCUAUUGCGAAGGCGAUCUGCUGGAACUUAACUGACGCUAAUGCGUGAAAGCGUGGGGAGCAAACAGGAUUAGAUACCCUAGUAGUC
rnacentral:rRNA from 1 species